AUGCAAUCACCGUUCUACCCUUCCCCUCUCCCGCCUCUUCGACUUCCCUCUGUAAAUCCCAACCGUCCGUUCAUCAACAUCAACAGCUCCCUCAUCUCUCUUCAUUGCGUCCCUAAAGGCAGACAGGAUGGAGCCAGGCAUAAUAUAAUAUCUCUAUAUUUUAAUAUUUAUUCUCUCUCUCUCUCUCUCUCUCUCUUUUUUUUCUUCUUUCAGUUUUCAUCAUCAACAACACUUCUUUUAUUUUUCUCUUUAUUUUCCUUCUCAUCGACCAUGGAUUUUGUUGUUAUUAUUCUCCAAAACUAG